rnacentral:rRNA from 1 species
GCUGGCGGCAGGCCUAACACAUGCAAGUCGAACGGAGUUAUAUUGUAGCUUGCUAUGGUAUAACUUAGUGGCAGACGGGUGAGUAAUGUAUAGGAAUCUACCUAGUAGUACGGAAUAAUUGUUGGAAACGGCAACUAAUACCGUAUACGCCCUACGGGGGAAAAAUUUAUUGCUAUUAGAUGAGCCUAUAUUAGAUUAGCUAGUUGGUGGAGUAAUAGCCUACCAAGGCAAUGAUCUAUAGCUGAUCUGAGAGGAUGAUCAGCCACACUGGAACUGAGAUACGGUCCAGACUCCUACGGGAGGCAGCAGUGGGGAAUAUUGGACAAUGGGCGAAAGCCUGAUCCAGCCAUGCCGCAUGAGUGAAGAAGGCCUUUGGGUUGUAAAGCUCUUUUAGUGAGGAAGAUAAUGACGGUACUCACAGAAGAAGUCCUGGCUAACUCCGUGCCAGCAGCCGCGGUAAUACGGAGAGGGCUAGCGUUAUUCGGAAUUAUUGGGCGUAAAGGGCGCGUAGGCGGAUUAGUAAGUUAAAAGUGAAAUCCCAAGGCUCAACCUUGGAAUUGCUUUUAAAACUGCUAAUCUAGAGAUUGAAAGAGGAUAGAGGAAUUCCUAGUGUAGAGGUGAAAUUCGUAAAUAUUAGGAGGAACACCAGUGGCGAAGGCGUCUAUCUGGUUCAAAUCUGACGCUGAGGCGCGAAGGCGUGGGGAGCAAACAGGAUUAGAUACCCUGGUAGUCCACGCUGUAAACGAAGAAUGUUAAAUAUGGGAAGUUUUACUUUCUGUAUUACAGCU